UGAAGAGUCGUCCUUUUCCCUUCUAUUGUUCCAUACAGAGACUCUGAUCCAGUGUGAGGCCCUGUCCAGCUCCAAACUGUCCAGCUGCCUGGUGGGAAGAACAAAGAGGAAAGAGUGAAGAACAGCAAAGAGGCC